AGGAGAGUUUGAUCAUGGCUCAGAACGAACGCUGGCGGCAGGCCUAACACAUGCAAGUCGAACGUGAAGCAGGAGCUUGCUCCUGUGGAAAGUGGCAGACGGGUGAGUAACGCGUGGGAAUCUACCCAGCUCUACGGAAUAACGCAGGGAAACUUGUGCUAAUACCGUAUACGUCCUCCGGGAGAAAGAUUUAUCGGAGUUGGAUGAGCCCGCGUUAGAUUAGUUUGUUGGUGGGGUAACGGCCUACCAAGACUACGAUCUAUAGCUGGUCUGAGAGGAUGAUCAGCCACACUGGGACUGAGACACGGCCCAGACUCCUACGGGAGGCAGCAGUGGGGAAUAUUGCACAAUGGGCGCAAGCCUGAUGCAGCCAUGCCGCGUGAGUGAAGAAGGCCUUAGGGUUGUAAAACUCUUUCACCGGUGAAGAUAAUGACGGUAGCCGGAGAAGAAGCCCCGGCUAACUCCGUGCCAGCAGCCGCGGUAAUACGGAGGGGGCAAGCGUUGUUCGGAAUUACUGGGCGUAAAGCGCGCGUAGGCGGACUGGUCAGUUGGGGGUGAAAUCCCGAGGCUCAACCUCGGAACUGCCCUCAAUACUGCCAGUCUAGAGUUCGGAAGAGGUAAGUGGAAUU
rnacentral:rRNA from 1 species